rnacentral:lncRNA from 1 species
AGGACCAGCUGCGUGGGCCCGGCUGGAUGUCAUCGUGACGCGGUGGCUAGAGCGACGAGAUUAGCCGGAUGGUGGUAGCUGUGGCAGUGGUUGCUGCUGUAGCGAGAAGUGGAGCCUAACCCAUUAGGCACCAAACAGAAGAACUGAUCGUGCAAUGGUGAAGAGCAUGCAUCAUAGUUUUAGAAGGACCCAUACAAUGAAAGCAAGUGGUAUCUUGGACUAUUUUCUACCGAAGAAGCAUCUCACGUGUAGGGAGAGCGUGUGGGCGAGGUGCUAGAGGAAAUGUUUCAUCUUCGGUGGAACUUUAAGUUUCAUAGAUGCUUCCAUAAUUGUUGAAGAAGGAAGAGAAAGACCUGUACACAGACAAAAAGGCCAUUUGAGCUUGAAAUUCCAACUCAGACCAAUAUCCACUCUUAACAGUAUACCGACCAUGACAAUCACCAGUAUCUUAACUCAGAGGAAUAGAUAGGUUGAGUUCAGCUUUAGGAAAGGUGAAUAAGCGGUAGAUCUCAGAAACAUUCCAGUGACCACUAGUAGUAAUAAUGUAACACCCCUGACCCAAUUUAAAUGUUUUAUUUAAUUUAUUUCUAUUUGUGAAAUUAUAAUUUUGCCCAUAAGGGUAGGGUCACUUCAACCACUUUUUAAUCUAGAAGGAUUUUGGGAAAUUGAGUGGUACCAUUGCAUAGAGCUCGAUGAUACGAGUUCGUAGACAGGCGGCACGCUCAAUUCUGAGUUGUGACAAGCCUGUAAAGGUUAGAAAAUUGAAAGGACAUAUCAAUAAUUUAAAAUUUGUCAAGACCCCUAAAUACCUGGAUCUCUCUCUUCCCUAGCGCACUCACUCUCUCUCCCCCGACAAUUUCUCUCUGUUCUGCCUCUUCUCUUUGCGACACCGGCUGUUUCAGACAGUGAUUUUGUCACCGUCUGGCCACCAAAUCGCACGAGACCACUUCCAAAAUAUCUCUCUCUCUCUUCUCUCUACCCAGCCUACCCAAUUUCUCCGAUUGAAAACCCAACGAUAGGUGGCGGCGUGGACUGAUUUUUGGGUUGACUUUCAAUUACUGUUUCCGGAAAUUCCGGCGACGAUUUCCGUAGACCAAGGUACAAAUCUUCAUCCUCUCCUUGUGUUCUAGCUGAUGGUAUGGUUGGUUAGGAUCAAUUUGGAGUGUUUAGAGUUCGAUCUAAAACCUAGGUUUUGAGCCGACUGUUGAGGUGUUUUUUGGCUAGCUUCGGCCACUUUUUGGCCGGGGUCCAAGACCAAAAGUGACUCCCGAGUUGUGGUGGUUGUGUAGUUAUAGGUAUUGGCCGGCGAUUUGAAGUUUUUCGAUCGCCGAAAAUUACUCAAGAUAUCCACGCUUUGACAGGACGUGUGGCGGCGCGUGGAACCCAUUGUGGCAGCUCUUAAGGUUCUAAAAUAAUCCUCAAGUCGUCCCAAGCACGACAGUAUGUUAGGAUGAGCGAUAGGUUAUUGUUCGACUAUUGAACGAAACUUCACAUAUUGGGCGGUAUUCGAGUUCGAUAGGUUUGGACUAUCCAAUCGGUCCCAUUUUUCAAAUAUGUCGUUCCUCGUAUUUCUAGGAUCAUGUAGGAAUUCAUGGAUUGAGAAUCGGAGUCUUGGAUACUCCGAAUAAAUGAUUAUAGGUUUAGGCAAAAUGAUCGCCGUCCGAUUUUACGAUUGGCUUAGAUCCGACCGCUCGAUCGAGACCAAACUUACAUGACUUAUUUAGUGGACUUUGUUGGGCUGAUAGGAACUUUCGGCUCAAAAAUUGGGGGUUAUGGGCCCGGCGGGCCCCGUUGACCAAAAAUGAGAAGUUUGACCAAACUGUUGGCCACGGG